ensembl:misc_RNA Y_RNA Y RNA
GGCUGGUCCAAGUGCAGUGGUGUUUACAACUAAUUGAUCACAACCAGUUACAGAUUCCUUUGUUCCUUCUCCAUUCCUACUGCUUCACUUGACUAGCCUUAA